ACCCAGUGUGAUUCGUCACACUAUCAUUAACUGAAUCCAUAGGUUAAUGAGGCGAACCGGGGGAACUGAAACAUCUAAGUACCCCGAGGAAAAGAAAUCAACCGAGAUUCCCCCAGUAGCGGCGAGCGAACGGGGAGGAGCCCAGAGCCUGAAUCAGUGUGUGUGUUAGUGGAAGCGUCUGGAAAGGCGCGCGAUACAGGGUGACAGCCCCGUACACAAAAAUGCACAUGCUGUGAGCUCGAUGAGUAGGGCGGGACACGUGGUAUCCUGUCUGAAUAUGGGGGGACCAUCCUCCAAGGCUAAAUACUCCUGACUGACCGAUAGUGAACCAGUACCGUGAGGGAAAGGCGAAAAGAACCCCGGCGAGGGGAGUGAAAAAGAACCUGAAACCGUGUACGUACAAGCAGUGGGAGCACGCUUAGGCGUGUGACUGCGUACCUUUUGUAUAAUGGGUCAGCGACUUAUAUUCUGUAGCAAGGUUAACCGAAUAGGGGAGCCGAAGGGAAACCGAGUCUUAACUGGGCGUUAAGUUGCAGGGUAUAGACCCGAAACCCGGUGAUCUAGCCAUGGGCAGGUUGAAGGUUGGGUAACACUAACUGGAGGACCGAACCGACUAAUGUUGAAAAAUUAGCGGAUGACUUGUGGCUGGGGGUGAAAGGCCAAUCAAACCGGGAGAUAGCUGGUUCUCCCCGAAAGCUAUUUAGGUAGCGCCUCGUGAAUUCAUCUCCGGGGGUAGAGCACUGUUUCGGCAAGGGGGUCAUCCCGACUUACCAACCCGAUGCAAACUGCGAAUACCGGAGAAUGUUAUCACGGGAGACACACGGCGGGUGCUAACGUCCGUCGUGAAGAGGGAAACAACCCAGACCGCCAGCUAAGGUCCCAAAGUCAUGGUUAAGUGGGAAACGAUGUGGGAAGGCCCAGACAGCCAGGAUGUUGGCUUAGAAGCAGCCAUCAUUUAAAGAAAGCGUAAUAGCUCACUGGUCGAGUCGGCCUGCGCGGAAGAUGUAACGGGGCUAAACCAUG
rnacentral:rRNA from 1 species